CGCCAUCUUGGGAGGGGCCAGGCGCGGCGGGAAGGGCCGAAGCGGCGCCUCUGGCCCGUCAGCGGCCCCGGCGCGGUUCGGCCGCGCCGCCCCUCGUCCCGCCGCUCCUCCGGCCGCCGCCCGCGACCUGCCGCAGGAGUUUUCAUCCUCUGAGUCGCAACUCCGACUGGCGAGGGACUCCCGAGUCGUUAAAGCAUUGCCUCCGCUUUGGGAAAAGUGCGUUUCUGUUCUUUGUGCACCGUCCCAGAUGUCGCUUCUGGAAGCGGGGCGUAUUCAAAUGGUUCUGCGCAGAGGCGUGACAAAUGACGGGACGGAUGAAAAAGGCCACUGACACACAGGCUGCGGGGGUCACUCAGAUGCAGUGCCAACUCAAUGAGUGAAUUUCCUGCAGAACCCAAGCAAGCAGAGGUAAUGAACCUGAAUCUCCAAUGCAAGUACCAAAUCCAAUUCCCUUCGGUGGAUACCUGAUACAGAGUCAACAAACCAUAUUAAGGAGAAAGGCCCCCCCGCUGAAGGAGAGCAAAUCUCCCACUGAAACAAGAAACCCAGAACAGCCGCCAGGAGUCUAUGUGGAAAGGAAGUAACAGCUAGAAAACCAAGUGUGCAUGAAAAACUUCUUUUUAUUAAUGCUUUUUUUUUUCUCUCCAAACAGAUCAUACUGUGGUAGCUUUUCAAACUCUGGUAGAGAGCUGCAUAGUCUGUCUAUGACAGUUUUCUAUAACUUUUCUGCAAACUCUGGCACUGUUCUUUUCUGCUCCUAUCAUUUCCUCACUCCUUUUUGGGUUCUCUUCAGUUUGAUGAAAUCAAAAAAUAGAACUAAAAAUAAACAAAUAAAAAGUCCAUAAUGCUCAAAACA